ACGAAAGAAAAUUUGGAUCAGGUGGUGGUGGCAUUGGCCCAUGUGGCUAAUAUGGUGGUGGUCGUUGCCCAUGGUUAAAGGGAGGCCAAUAUGGAUAAUUUAUUGGUGGCCCAGGAGGACCUGGUGGUCCAGGUGGUCCUGGUGCACUAGGUGGUCCUGGUGGU